rnacentral:snRNA from 1 species
GUGCUCCCUUCGGCAUCACGUAUACUAAAAUCGGAAAGAUAGAGAGAUUAGCCUGGUGCCUGUGCAAGGAUGACACACAAAUUCAAGAAGCAUUCCAUAUUUUU